CCUACGGGAGGCUGCAGUGGGGAAUCUUGCGCAAUGGGCGAAAGCCUGACGCAGCCAUGCCGCGUGAAUGAUGAAGGUCUUAGGAUUGUAAAAUUCUUUCACCGGGGACGAUAAUGACGGUACCCGGAGAAGAAGCCCCGGCUAACUUCGUGCCAGCAGCCGCGGUAAUACGAAGGGGGCUAGCGUUGCUCGGAAUUGCUGGGCGUAAAGGGAGCGUAGGCGGACUGUUAAGUUAGAGGUGAAAGCCCAGGGCUCAACCUUGGAAUUGCCUUUGAUACUGGCAGUCUUGAGUACGGAAGAGGUAUGUGGAACUCCGAGUGUAGAGGUGAAAUUCGUAGAUAUUCGGAAGAACACCAGUGGCGAAGGCGACAUACUGGUCCGUUACUGACGCUGAGGCUCGAAAGCGUGGGGAGCAAACAGGAUUAGAUACCCCGGUAGUC
rnacentral:rRNA from 1 species